rnacentral:rRNA from 1 species
GGUCAGGUGUGGAAGCGCAGUAAUGCGUUAAGCUAACUGAUACUAAUUGCCCGUGAGGCUUGACCCUAUAACAUUA